GACGAACGCUGGCGGCGUGCUUAACACAUGCAAGUCGAACGGGCCUUGUCCCCUUUUUUUUUGGGGGUGGGGUUAGUGGCGAACGGGUGAGUAACACGUGAGUAACCUGCCCCUCACUUCGGGAUAACCGCUGGAAAGGGUGGCUAAUACGGGGUGUUCUGUCCUGCUCGCAUGGGUGGGUUUGGAAAGAUUCGACCGGUUUUGGUUGUUUUGUUGGGGGAUGGGCUCGCGGCCUAUCAGCUCGUUGGUGGGGGGAUGGCCUGCCGAGGCUUUGACGGGGGGCCGGCCUGAGAGGGUGCGCGGUCACUCUGGGACUGAGACGCGGCCCAGCCUCCUGCGGGAGGCAGCAGUGGGGAAUUUUGCACAAUGCGCGCACGCCUGAUGCAGCGACGCCGCGUGAGGGAUGGAGGCCUUCGGGUUGUGAACCUCUUUCGGCGGUGAAGAAGGUCCUGCUCUUUGUGGUGGGGUUGACGGUAGCUGGGUUAAUGAAGCGCCGGCUAACUACGUG
rnacentral:rRNA from 1 species